rnacentral:snRNA from 1 species
AUGUUCACUUCGGCAGCACAGAUACUAAAAUUGGAAUGAUACAGAAGAUUAGCAGACCUCUGCGCAAGGAUGACAUGCAAAUUCGUGAAGCAUUCCAUAUUAUU